GACCAUCCUCCAAGGCUAAAUACUCCUGACUGACCGAUAGUGAACCAGUACCGUGAGGGAAAGGCGAAAAGAACCCCGGCGAGGGGAGUGAAAAAGAACCUGAAACCGUGUACGUACAAGCAGUGGGAGCACGCUUAGGCGUGUGACUGCGUACCUUUUGUAUAAUGGGUCAGCGACUUAUAUUCUGUAGCAAGGUUAACCGAAUAGGGGAGCCGAAGGGAAACCGAGUCUUAACUGGGCGUUAAGUUGCAGGGUAUAGACCCGAAACCCGGUGAUCUAGCCAUGGGCAGGUUGAAGGUUGGGUAACACUAACUGGAGGACCGAACCGACUAAUGUUGAAAAAUUAGCGGAUGACUUGUGGCUGGGGGUGAAAGGCCAAUCAAACCGGGAGAUAGCUGGUUCUCCCCGAAAGCUAUUUAGGUAGCGCCUCGUGAAUUCAUCUCCGGGGGUAGAGCACUGUUUCGGCAAGGGGGUCAUCCCGACUUACCAACCCGAUGCAAACUGCGAAUACCGGAGAAUGUUAUCACGGGAGACACACGGCGGGUGCUAACGUCCGUCGUGAAGAGGGAAACAACCCAGACCGCCAGCUAAGGUCCCAAAGUCAUGGUUAAGUGGGAAACGAUGUGGGAAGGCCCAGACAGCCAGGAUGUUGGCUUAGAAGCAGCCAUCAUUUAAAGAAAGCGUAAUAGCUCACUGGUCGAGUCGGCCUGCGCGGAAGAUGUAACGGGGCUAAACCAUG
rnacentral:rRNA from 1 species